rnacentral:rRNA from 1 species
UACGAAGGGAGCUAGCGUUGUUCGGAAUCACUGGGCGUAAAGCGCACGUAGGCGGAUUUGCCAGUCAGGGGUGAAAUCCCGGGGCUCAACCUCGGAACUGCCUUUGAUACAGCAAGUCUUGAGUUCGAGAGAGGUGGGUGGAAUUCCUAGUGUAGAGGUGAAAUUCGUAGAUAUUAGGAAGAACACCGGUGGCGAAGGCGGCCCACUGGCUCGACACUGACGCUGAGGUGCGAAAGCGUGGGGGAGCAAACAGG